rnacentral:rRNA from 1 species
AUGGCGGCGGCGCUGGAGACGAUGAGGGCGUUCUGGGACUCGCAGUGCAACAACGAGGAGAACUGGGCGGUCAACUAUGUUGACAACCUUGGUUCCUUUGCUAGUGAAUUGCUUACUUUAGUUACUUACCCUCACUAA